rnacentral:rRNA from 1 species
AUUGAACGCUGGCGGCAGGCCUAACACAUGCAAGUCGACCGAGCGGCGGACGGGUGAGUAAUGUCUGGGAAACUGCCUGAUGGAGGGGGAUAACUACUGGAAACGGUAGCUAAUACCGCAUACCAUCAGAUGUGCCCAGAUGGGAUUAGCUAGUAGGGGGGGUAACGGCUCACCAAGGCGACGAUCCCUAGCUGGUCUGAGAGGAUGACCAGCCGCACUGGAACUGCGACACGGUCCAGACUCCUACGGUAGGCAGCAGUGGGGAAUAUUGCACAAUAGGCGCGAGCCGGAUGCAGCCAUGCCGCGUGGGUGAAGAAGGCCUUCGGGUUGUAAAGUACUUUCAGCGAGAAGACGUUACCCGCAGAAGAAGCGCCGGCUAACUCCGUGCCAGCAGCCGCGGUAAUAC